UUUCCGUAGGUGAACCUGCGGAAGGAUCAUUAAUGAGUUGUCAUGGGGUUCGAUGCUGGCAGCCAAUUUUUGGAUGCAUGUGCUUGCCCUAACAAUCAUCUUCCAAACACCUGUGCACAUUUUUGAGGGAGUCUUGAGUUGGUUGCCGCUCUUGGGUGAUUUUCUCACAUUCCUUUAAAUCAUUAUACGCUAUUAACAAUGUUGAACGUGCUCUGUGCCGCAAGGCUAUUAAUAUAAUACAACUUUUAACAACGGAUCUCUUGGCUCUC
rnacentral:misc_RNA from 1 species